UACGUAGGGUGCGAGCGUUGUCCGGAAUUACUGGGCGUAAAGAGUUCGUAGGCGGUUUGUCGCGUCGUUCGUGAAAACUUGGGCUUAACUCCAAGCGUGCGGGCGAUACGGGCAGACUUGAGUACUACAGGGGAGACUGGAAUUCCUGGUGUAGCGGUGAAAUGCGCAGAUAUCAGGAGGAACACCGGUGGCGAAGGCGGGUCUCUGGGUAGUAACUGACGCUGAGGAACGAAAGCGUGGGUAGCGAACAGG
rnacentral:rRNA from 1 species